rnacentral:sRNA from 1 species
AGCAGCCGCGGUAAUUCCAGCUCCAAUAGCGUAUAUUAAAGUUGUUGCAGUUAAAAAGCUCGUAGUUGAAUUUCGGGAUUAGUACGUUGGUCGUGCCUUGGUACGUACUGGUGUAACUGAUUCCUCCCUUCUGACGAACCGUUAUGCCAUUAAUUUGGUGUGGCGGGAAAUCAGGACUGUUACUUUGAAAAAAUUAGAGUGUUUAAAGCAGGCUCGCGCUUGAAUACAUUAGCAUGGAAUAAUGAAAUAGGACGUUAAUCCUAUUUUGUUGGUUUCUAGGAUCGACGUAAUGAUUAAUAGGGAUAGUUGGGGGCAUUAGUAUUCAAUUGUCAGAGGUGAAAUUCUUGGAUUUAUUGAAGACUAACUACUGCGAAAGCAUUUGCCAAGGAUGUUUUCAUUAAUCAAGAACGAAAGUUAGGGGAUCGAAGACGAUCAGAUACCGUCGUAGUCUUAACCAUAAACCUAUGCCGACUAGGGAUCGGAUGAUGUUAAUU